rnacentral:tRNA from 1 species
GGGCAGGUACCUGAGUGGUUAAAAGGGCGGGGCUGUAAACCCCGUGAGCCUUACCGGCUCUACAGAGGUUCGAAUCCUCUCCUGCCCACCA